UAUUAAUACUACAAUAUUAUAUAGACAUGUUAUUCUAAUAUCUUAGCUUAAUUUUCAUGGAAUAUCAGUUUAAAUAUUUAUAGACUUAUAAACGCUUAUAUAAUAUUAAUAUAAUAUUACUAUAAACUAUUUUUUUUGCUAGGUAGGUAGGAAAAUUUGUGGGGAUUCUAACUUGAAACAAAAUUACAUUUUGGGUGAUAUACAUUAUGAUAAAAAUUGUCUUUUAGCAGUUAACACCAAUACACUAAUAAACCUAUCAUUAAUUUUAUUUAAAUUCAUUUCUAGAAAUGCACUAUGUCUAUGGGAUUUUUCUGAUGACGAUGCGAUGGAUAGUUACGUUGAAGUUGUUGGUGAGGACUUUGUAAAUGAUGAUAAUAGCCUCUUCAACCAUACUAUUCGAGUUAUGAAUCGACCAGCUCAUGGACAGCAGCAGCUACAAAAUUGUUGAUUGCACUCAGAGAAUCCUAUAAUGAGGAAAAUAUGAAACUUUGGUUACUAAUAUCUAAUGAAAUUAAGGAAAAAAAAUCACAAUUUUAGUGCAAGGCAGUUUAAUGAAAAGUAGUGACGUUUACUAACUUGUUUUUGUCAAGUUAGAGAUGUGUCCUUGGCAGUGGCUCCGAACCUAUGUAUUAGAUCGCCACACCUAUUUUAAGGCAUACGCCUAAUGGUGUCGAGGCUUAUGGCGCAACAGACUAUUCAGAAGAAAUUGCUGUUAUCAUACCGGUGAUUAAAGCAGAAGUUCAUAGUUCCUCAAUAAUAUCGGCUGAGGCUAACCAACUGCUAAAUAUCUUUAUAAUGUAACGUGUAAUAUAUUUUUAUUAUAUCAUAUAAAAAAUACUAUUUAGGAACUAGUGCUCAUGUGAUCAAAUUCAUUAACUGUCAUUUUUUUUUUUUUUUUGGGUCUGUCAUCAACUUUUAGGACAGUAAAAGUGCUUG